GCUCAGGACGAACGCUGGCGGCGUGCUUAACACAUGCAAGUCGAACGCUGAAGCACCAGCUUGCUGGUGUGGAUGAGUGGCGAACGGGUGAGUAAUACGUGAGUAACCUGCCCUUGACUYUGGGAUAAGCCCGGGAAACUGGGUCUAAUACUGGAUGCUACAUGUCACCGCAUGGUGGUGUGUGGAAAGGGUUUACUGGUCUUGGAUGGGCUCACGGCCUAUCAGCUUGUUGGUGAGGUAAUGGCUCACCAAGGCGACGACGGGUAGCCGGCCUGAGAGGGUGACCGGCCACACUGGGACUGAGACACGGCCCAGACUCCUACGGGAGGCAGCAGUGGGGAAUAUUGCACAAUGGGCGAAAGCCUGAUGCAGCGACGCCGCGUGAGGGAUGACGGCCUUCGGGUUGUAAACCUCUUUCAGCAGGGAAGAAGCCACAAGUGAC
rnacentral:rRNA from 1 species